UACGUAGGUGGCAAGCGUUGUCCGGAAUUACUGGGCGUAAAGCGUGCGCAGGUGGUUGUGUAAGCCAGAUGUGAAAUCCCCGGGCUUAACCUGGGAACUGCGUUUGAAACUACGGAGCUAGAGUGCGGCAGAGGGGGGUGGAAUUCCACGUGUAGCAGUGAAAUGCGUAGAUAUGUGGAGGAACACCGAUGGCGAAGGCAGCCCCCUGGGCCGACACUGACGCUCAGGCACGAAAGCGUGGGGAGCAAACAGG
rnacentral:rRNA from 1 species